rnacentral:rRNA from 1 species
AUUGAACGCUGGCGGCAGGCCUAACACAUGCAAGUCGAGCGGAUGAAGAGAGCUUGCUCCUGGAUUCAGCGGCGGACGGGUGAGUAAUGCCUAGGAAUCUGCCUGGUAGUGGGGGAUAACGUCCGGAAACGGGCGCUAAUACCGCAUACGUCCUGAGGGAGAAAGUGGGGGAUCUUCGGACCUCACGCUAUCAGAUGAGCCUAGGUCGGAUUAGCUAGUUGGUGGGGUAAAGGCCUACCAAGGCGACGAUCCGUAACUGGUCUGAGAGGAUGAUCAGUCACACUGGAACUGAGACACGGUCCAGACUCCUACGGGAGGCAGCAGUGGGGAAUAUUGGACAAUGGGCGAAAGCCUGAUCCAGCCAUGCCACGUGUGUGAAGAAGGUCUUCGGAUUGUAAAGCACUUUAAGUUGGGAGGAAGGGCAGUAAGUUAAUACCUUGCUGUUUUGACGUUACCAACAGAAUAAGCACCGGCUAACUUCGUG